GAGAGUUGAGAUAAAUAACCAUCAAUAAUAUGGAUAUAAUGACAAAGUGGGUAAAGGCAAAUAAUACAACAGUCUGCUAAGUUCCGAAUAUGACAUCUCUCUGCUGUAAUGCA